CCUACGGGAGGCAGCAGUGAGGAAUAUUGGUCAAUGGACGCAAGUCUGAACCAGCCAUGCCGCGUGCAGGAAGACGGCUCUAUGAGUUGUAAACUGCUUUUGUACGAAGGUAAACGCAGAUACGUGUAUCUGUCUGAAAGUAUCGUACUAAUAAGGAUCGGCUAACUCCGUGACAGCAGCCGCGGUAAUACGGAGGAUUCAAGCGUUAUCCGGAUUUAUUGGGUUUAAAGGGUGCGUAGGCGGUCGGAUAAGUUAGAGGUGAAAUCCUGAGGCUCAACUUCGGAAUUGCAUCUGAUACUGUUCGGCUAGAGAGUAGUUGCGGUAGGCGGAAUGUAUGGUGUAGCGGUGAAAUGCUUAGAGAUCAUACAGAACACCGAUUGCGAAGGCAGCUUACCAAGCUACUUCUGACGUUGAGGCACGAAAGCGUGGGUAGCAAACAGGAUUAGAUACCCUGGUAGUC
rnacentral:rRNA from 1 species